ACACUUACUUGGCAGAAAGAAUGUCAUCGUCAAGAAGAUGGUUCUCCCAGUACUAGUCUUCUCCCUCGCACUCCAGACUUGCUGGCCCCUGCGAUUUCCCCAGUGGGAAACUCUACUGUGGAACUUGUCCCAGUGCGAGACUGCACUCAUGUUCUCCCC
ensembl:snRNA RNU1-49P RNA, U1 small nuclear 49, pseudogene